rnacentral:misc_RNA from 1 species
UGCCCAUAGAUGUAUAUAUAGAGUGAGACAUGGAUAUAUACAUGUAAGCACACCACGCAUGCGUGCAAAACUACACCUAGCCAAGGUACAUGUAAAGCAAAGAAAAGGUAAGGGAGGGAGUGAGAAGGGUAGUUGGACAAUCACCAAAACGCAUAAAAAAAACACGAAUAAAUGGCGCAUCGAACACAUGCAGAGCAAGCAAGAGAAGGAUCGUCACCAAGUGUAGGGACCGCUUCAUAUUUGGUAGAUCUCCUUUCUUUUUUUUUUCUCUGCCUCUCCCCACUCAGCGACCCAAGACGCACGCGCGAGCGUGCAGAGUCUUGGGCACUUCUCCAUCUCCUCCCCACCCCCAUGUCGGCUUCACGUGGGAAGUGUGGUGAUAUCCCUCGAUCGGGAUGCUGGUGUAAUGCUCAGAG